UGGGGAAUAUUGCGCAAUGGGGGGAACCCUGACGCAGCCAUGCCGCGUGAAUGAAGAAGGCCUUAGGGUUGUAAAGUUCUUUCGGUAUUGAGGAAGGUUGAUGUGUUAAUAGCACAUCAAAUUGACGUUAAAUACAGAAGAAGCACCGGCUAACUCCGUGCCAGCAGCCGCGGUAAUACGGAGGGUGCGAGCGUUAAUCGGAAUAACUGGGCGUAAAGGGCACGCAGGCGGUUAUUUAAGUGAGGUGUGAAAGCCCCGGGCUUAACCUGGGAAUUGCAUUUCAGACUGGGUAACUAGAGUACUUUAGGGAGGGGUAGAAUUCCACGUGUAGCGGUGAAAUGCGUAGAGAUGUGGAGGAAUACCGAAGGCGAAGGCAGCCCCUUGGGAAUGUACUGACGCUCAUGUGCGAAAGCGUGGGGAGCAAACAGGAUUAGAUACCCUGGUAGUCCACGCUGUAGACGCUGUCGAUUUGGGGGUUGGGGUUUAACUCUGGCACCCGUAGCUAACGUGAUAAAUCGACCGCCUGGGGAGUACGGCCGCAAGGUUA
rnacentral:rRNA from 1 species